UACGGGGGGAGCAAGCGUUGUUCGGAUUUACUGGCGUAAAGGGCGCGUAGGCGGUCAGCACAAGUCAGUUGUGAAAUCUCCGAGCUUAACUCGGAACGGUCAACUGAUACUGUGCGACUAGAGUGCGGAAGGGGCAACUGGAAUUCUCGGUGUAGCGGUGAAAUGCGUAGAUAUCGAGAGGAACACCUGCGGCGAAGGCGGGUUGCUGGGCCGACACUGACGCUGAUGCGCGAAAGCCAGGGGAGCGAACGGGG
rnacentral:rRNA from 1 species